rfam:Cronobacter sp. DJ34 Bact_Masurca_47, whole genome shotgun sequence.
ACCCCUUACAGAGCUAAGCCACUUAAGUGAGUGCCGGAGAUAAGCGCCGGGAGGGGUAAAACCU